GAAGGCCUUAGGGUCGUAAACCGCUUUCAGUAGGGACGAAAAUGACGGUACCUGCAGAAAAAGCUCCGGCCAACUACCUGCCAACAACCGCCGUGAUACCUAAGGAGCAAGCGUUGUCCCGAAUUACUGGGCCUAAAGGGCUCUGAAGUGGUUGAGUAAGUCAGAUGUUAAAUCUCACGGCCCAACCCUGAACGUGCCUUUGAUACUGCUCUGACUAGAGUCCGGUAGGGGAGUGCGGAAUUCCUGGUGUAGCGGUGAAAUGCGUAGAUAUCAGGAGGAACACCGACGGCGAAGGCAGCACUCUGGGCCGGUACUGACACUGAGGAGCGAAAGCAUGGGUAGCAAACAGGAUUAGAUACCCUGGUAGUCCAUGCCGUAAACGUUGGGCACUAGGUGUGGGGAGAACUCAACUCUCUCCGCGCCGUAACUAACGCAUUAAGUGCCCCGCCGGGGGAGUACGGCCGCAAGGCUAAA
rnacentral:rRNA from 1 species